GAUGAACGCUGGCGGCGUGCCUAAUACAUGCAAGUCGAGCGAACAGACGAGGAGCUUGCUCCUCUGACGUUAGCGGCGGACGGGUGAGUAACACGUGGAUAACCUACCUAUAAGACUGGGAUAACUUCGGGAAACCGGAGCUAAUACCGGAUAAUAUAUUGAACCGCAUGGUUAAAUAGUGAAAGACGGUUUUGCUUUCACUUAUCGAUGGAUCCGCGCCGCAUUAGCUAGUUGGUAAGGUAACGGCUUACCAAGGCUACGAUGCGAAGCCGCCCCGAGAGGGACGACCGGUAGCCUGGAACUGAGGUACGGCGCCCACUCUGAGAGUGGGCCACGGUCGGGAAUCCUCCGCAAUGGGGCAAUGCCUGACGUUGCAACGUCGCGUGAGUCCUGAUGGUCUUCCGCUGCGUAAACUCUGUUAUUCGGGAAGUUGUAAUGUGUAAGUAACUAUGCACAUCUUGACGGUACCUAACCAGAAAGCCACGGCUAACUACGUG
rnacentral:rRNA from 1 species